AUUUAGUUGAGUUUGGUGAUAGCUCUGAUUGAACGCUGUUUAAGUGCUUGACACAUGCUAAUCGUACGGUUAAUACAAUUGAAAAAUUAAAUUAACAGUGGUGUAAGGGUGAGUAUAAGAUAUUUUUGCCUAUCUCAAAGCAAGGAAAAGAAAAUUCCUUAUAAUUCAAAUAAAGGUGGUAAAGAACCACUGCUUUGAGAGGAAGAUAAAUGUCACAGAAAAAGGUAGUUGUUAAGGUAAUGGCUCAACAAGCCGCGUAUUUUCUUAGUCGUAACUGAAAGGUUGAUCGAUCACAUUGGGUCUGAAAAAACCCCAAUGCAUAUAUGUACAGCAGUGAGGAAUUUUGGUCAAUGGCCUAGCGGCCGAACUGGCAACUUAGGAAAAUGACAAUUGGUUGUCAAAUGAAGUUUUGUCUAUAUAUUGAUAAUGACAAUAUAUAUAAAUAGUCUUGACUAAUUACGUGCCAGCAGUCGCGGUAAUACGUAAGAGACAAGUGUUAUUCAUCUUAAAUAGGUUUAAAGGGUACCUAGACGGCCAAAAUGACUUUAUAUAAGUAGUAUUUGGCUAGAGUUUGAUAUAAGAAGACAGUACUUUUAGGUGGAGAGUCGAAAUUCUGUGAUACUCUAAGGACUGGUAAAGGCGAAGGCAGUCUUCUAUGUAUAAACUGACGUUGAGGGACGAAGGCAUAGGUAACGAACAGGAUUAGGCACCCUAGUAGUCUUUGCAGAGAAUAAUGAAUGCCAUAGAUUAGGCUACGUGUAUAAUAUGAAAAGAACCUCUGGCUGCUCGCCGGAGUGAGUCUUUAUAAGUCGAUAUAUAUUAAAUUUUCUUUUUUUAAGAAACAUAUAAAGAUUUUUUUUUUAUUGGUUUUAAUUCUUAAAUUAUAAUAAAUUUAAUUUUUAAUUCUUUUUAUUUAAAAUAUAAAAAAAGUAAAGCAUAUAUUACCACGCUUGGUCCAUAAAUGAAAGUGUAAGCAUUUCACCUCAAGAGUAAAGUGGCAACACUGGAACUGAAAUCACUAGACCGUUUCUGACACCAGCAGUGAAGUAUGUUAUUUAAUUCGAUGAUCCACGAAAAACCUUACCACAAUUUGAAUACUUAAUAGUAAAUUAAGAUACAGGUGUUGCACGGCUGUUUUCAGUUAAUGUUGUGAAACUGUGGUUCUUCAUGUAAUUAACGUAAUCCUUACCUCUAUUUAUAAAAUAAAAAAAUAGAGCAUUUUUUCCGCAUACUGGAAAUAAUAAAGAGGACAAAGACAAGUCAUCAUGGCCCUGAUAUUGUGGGCUAUAGACGUGCCACAAUUCUCCUAAACAAAGAGAUGCGAAAAUGUGAAUUUAAGCUAAUCUCAAAAAAUAGGAUAGAAAAAGAAGGAUUGUAGUCUGAAAUUCGACUAUAUGAAUAAGUAAUUGCUAGUAAUCGUGAAUCACCAUGUCACGGUGAAUAUAACCUCGGAUUGGUACUAACCACUCGUCACAUGCUGAAAGGAGUACUGCGCAAUAAGUUUGCUUUUUUGCUAUAAAAAUAUGAUAAUUAUAAUUAGACCUUUAUAGUAAGAUUCACCGUAUGCGAGACUCCGAUUAGUGUUAAGUCGAAAUACGGUUCGUGUAGUGGAAGUUGCACGGGAUUGAUUAACCAU
rnacentral:rRNA from 1 species